UACGAAGGGGGCUAGCGUUGUUCGGAUUUACUGGGCGUAAAGCGCACGUAGGCGGAUUGUUAAGUCGGGGGUGAAAUCCUGGAGCUCAACUUCAGAAUUGCCUUCGAUACUGGCUUUCUAGAGGCUGGAAGAGGUUAGUGGAAUUCCCAGUGUAGAGGUGAAAUUCGUAGAUAUUGGGAAGAACACCAGUGGCGAAGGCGGCUAACUGGUCCGAUACUGACGCUGAGGUGCGAAAGCG
rnacentral:rRNA from 1 species